GCACUUACCUGGCAGUGGAGAGACCAUGAUCAGGAAGAUGGUUUUCCCAGGGCAAGGCUAACCCAUUGCGCUCCAGAUAUGCUGACCCCUAUGAUUUUCCCAAAUGUGGGAAACUUGGCUGCAUAACUUGGGGUAGCAGGGGACUGCAUUUGUGCUCUCCCCUA
ensembl:snRNA U1 U1 spliceosomal RNA